GAUGAACGCUAGCGGCAGGCCUAAUACAUCGCAAGUCGGACGGGAUUCUAGGAUUAAGCUCGCUUAAUUUUAGUCGAGAGUGGCGCACGGGUGCGUAACGCGUGAGCAACCUACCCAUAUCAGGGGGAUAGCCCGGAGAAAUCCGGAUUAACACCGCAUAACACAGCAAUCUCGCAUGAGAUCACUGUUAAAUAUUUAUAGGAUAUGGAUGGGCUCGCGUGACAUUAGCUAGUUGGUAAGGUAACGGCUUACCAAGGCUACGAUGUCUAGGGGCUCUGAGAGGAGAAUCCCCCACACUGGUACUGAGACACGGACCAGACUCCUACGGGAGGCAGCAGUAAGGAAUAUUGGUCAAUGGAGGGAACUCUGAACCAGCCAUGCCGCGUGCAGGAUGACUGCCCUAUGGGUUGUAGACUGCUUUUAUCUAGGAAUAAACCUUUCUACGUGUAGAGAGCUGAAUGUACUAGAGGAAUAAGGAUCGGCUAACUCCGUGCCAGCAGCCGCGGUAAUACGGAGGAUCCAAGCGUUAUCCGGAUUUAUUGGGUUUAAAGGGUGCGUAGGCGGCUUUAUAAGUCAGGGGUGAAAUACGGCAGCUCAACUGUCGCAGUGCCUUUGAUACUGUAGAGCUUGAAUGUGGUUGAAGAUGGCGGAAUGAGACAAGUAGCGGUGAAAUGCAUAGAUAUGUCUCAGAACUCCAAUUGCGAAGGCAGCUGUCUAAGUCAUUAUUGACGCUGAUGCACGAAAGCGUGGGGAUCGAACAGGAUUAGAUACCCUGGUAGUCCACGCCCUAAACGAUGAUAACUCGAUGUUAGCGAUAUACCGUUAGCGUCCUAGCGAAAGCGUUAAGUUAUCCACCUGGGGAGUACGCCCGCAAGGGUGAAACUCAAAGGAAUUGACGGGGGCCCGCACAAGCGGAGGAGCAUGUGGUUUAAUUCGAUGAUACGCGAGGAACCUUACCCGGGCUUGAAAGUUACUGAAGCAUCCAGAGACGGAUGCGUCCUUCGGGACAGGAAACUAGGUGCUGCAUGGCUGUCGUCAGCUCGUGCCGUGAGGUGUUGGGUUAAGUCCCGCAACGAGCGCAACCCCUAUGUUUAGUUGCCAGCAUGUUAUGGUGGGGACUCUAAACAGACUGCCAGCGUAAGCUGUGAGGAAGGUGGGGACGACGUCAAGUCAUCAUGGCCCUUACGUCCGGGGCUACACACGUGCUACAAAUGGAUGGUACAGCGGGCAGCUACACAGUAAAUGUGAUGCUAAUCUCGAAAAAGCCAAUUCACAGUUCGGAUUGAGGUCUGCAAACUCGACCUCAUGAAGUUGGAUUCGCUAGGAAUCGCGUAUCAGCAAUGACGCGGUAAAUACGUUUCCCGGGCCU
rnacentral:rRNA from 1 species